rnacentral:rRNA from 1 species
AAUGAACGUUGGCGGCGUGGAUUAGGCAUGCAAGUCGAACGAGAUCUGUAGCAAUACAGUGAAAGUGGCGAAAGGGAGAGUAAUACGUAGGUACCUGCCCUCGGGUCUGGGAUAGCCGCGGGAAACUGCAAUUAAUACCGGAUGACGUCUCUGGACCAAAGGUGUGAUUCCGCCAGGGGAUGGGCCUGCGUCCUAUCAGCUAGUUGGUGUGGUAAUGGCGCACCAAGGCUAAGACGGGUACGGGGUGUGAGAGCAUGCCCCCGCUCACUGGGACUGAGAUACUGCCCAGACACCUACGGGUGGCUGCAGUCGAGAAUCUUCCGCAAUGGGCGCAAGCCUGACGGAGCGACGCCGCGUGUGGGAUGAAGGCCUUCGGGUUGUAAACCACUGUCAGUGGGAGCAAAUGCAUCAGGGUUCUCCCUGGUGUUUGAGCAAUCCGCAGAGGAAGCACAGGCUAAUUCCGUGCCAGCCGCCGCAGUAAAAC